GCUGACGAGUGGCGGACGGGUGAGUAAUGUCUGGGAAACUGCCUGAUGGAGGGGGAUAACUACUGGAAACGGUGGCUAAUACCGCAUAAUGUCGCAAGACCAAAGAGGGGGACCUUCGGGCCUCUUGCCAUCAGAUGUGCCCAGAUGGGAUUAGCUUGUUGGUGAGGUAACGGCUCACCAAGGCGACGAUCCCUAGCUGGUCUGAGAGGAUGACCAGCCACACUGGAACUGAGACACGGUCCAGACUCCUACGGGAGGCAGCAGUGGGGAAUAUUGCACAAUGGGCGCAAGCCUGAUGCAGCCAUGCCGCGUGUAUGAAGAAGGCCUUCGGGUUGUAAAGUACUUUCAGCGGGGAGGAAGGUGUUGUGGUUAAUAACCACAGCAAUUGACGUUACCCGCAGAAGAAGCACCGGCUAACUCCGUGCCAGCAGCCGCGGUAAUACGGAGGGUGCAAGCGUUAAUCGGAAUUACUGGGCGUAAAGCGCACGCAGGCGGUCUGUCAAGUCGGAUGUGAAAUCCCCGGGCUCAACCUGGGAACUGCAUUCGAAACUGGCAGGCUUGAGUCUUGUAGAGGGGGGUAGAAUUCCAGGUGUAGCGGUGAAAUGCGUAGAGAUCUGGAGGAAUACCGGUGGCGAAGGCGGCCCCCUGGACAAAGACUGACGCUCAGGUGCGAAAGCGUGGGGAGCAAACAGGAUUAGAUACCCUGGUAGUCCACGCCGUAAACGAUGUCUACUUGGAGGUUGUGCCCUUGAGGCGUGGCUUCCGGAGCUAACGCGUUAAGUAGACCGCCUGGGGAGUACGGCCGCAAGGUUAAAACUCAAAUGAAUUGACGGGGGCCCGCACAAGCGGUGGAGCAUGUGGUUUAAUUCGAUGCAACGCGAAGAACCUUACCUGGUCUUGACAUCCACAGAACUUUCCAGAGAUGGAUUGGUGCCUUCGGGAACUGUGAGACAGGUGCUGCAUGGCUGUCGUCAGCUCGUGUUGUGAAAUGUUGGGUUAAGUCCCGCAACGAGCGCAACCCUUAUCCUUUGUUGCCAGCGGUCCGGCCGGGAACUCAAAGGAGACUGCCAGUGAUAAACUGGAGGAAGGUGGGGAUGACGUCAAGUCAUCAUGGCCCUUACGACCAGGGCUACACACGUGCUACAAUGGCGCAUACAAAGAGAAGCGACCUCGCGAGAGCAAGCGGACCUCAUAAAGUGCGUCGUAGUCCGGAUUGGAGUCUGCAACUCGACUCCAUGAAGUCGGAAUCGCUAGUAAUCGUGGAUCAGAAUGCCACGGUGAAUACGUUCCCGGGCCUUGUACACACCGCCCGUCACACCAUGGGAGUGGGUUGCAAAAGAAGUAGGUAGCUUAACCUUCGGGAGGGCGCUUACCACUUUGUGAUUCAUGACUGGGGUGAAGUCGUAACAAGGUAACCGUAGGGGAACCUGCGGUUG
rnacentral:rRNA from 1 species